UAUAGUUCCCAUAAGAAUAGAGAUAUUCAAACGGAACCCUAACAUCCCAAAUCAAUUCUGCUUGGCACCUUGCCGAUCCCGAAAUCCUAAAAUUAAUUAAAAAAUUCUAUAAUUGCAAAUCCAAAAAAACCUCCCAAACUUACUCGUUGGUAGCAUCUGAUCGGAACUCGGAAGUAGUAUAAUGGCACCAGAGAUGGCAAAUAAACCACCCAGGGCCGCUGAAGACAAAAGGAAGGUUAAGAAAUCAUCACCGGCACCAAAAAAGGCUGAAGACAAAAGGAAGGUUGAUAAGUUAUCAGUGAUACCGGAAUUCAGCGUGAUGUUGAGGACUCAGUGCACGGGUCGCGGGCUAAUGUGGGUCAGGCUUGAUGAUGUUUGUAAAUCCAUGAAUAAGAUGGUUAAUCGACACAAGCAACGGGAGGAGGCCGCCACCACCCAUAAUCACGACAUAGGUACGUGCGAUCGAAACCUGUUUCCUACCAAAAAAUCCCUCCUAAAAGUUAUGAAACCCAUGUACCCCAGCUCCUGCACGCCCCCUCCGAAUUCGCUGUGUGUUUGUAUCAACAACACUCUUUACUGUGUUGGCGGUGACGAGGACAUCUGGGCGUUUCAUAAUGUUGCCUCUGAAAUGUAUACUGGCAGUUGGAAACUUGAACCCAAACCCCUCUCUUACUUCUUAGACCAAAACAAAGAAAAAUUUGAUCUACUGCAACGUCCCCGCCUUAAUCUCAGUCAUUGGAUGAUCCAAGCUCAGUUUCCUCCUCCUCCAAAACUAUACCAUGACCAUGACCAUGCUAAAGAAGCCAAAGCUAGAGGAGAUAGUGGAAAAGGCAAAGCUAAAAGUAAAAGUAUUGAUGAUGAUGAUACUAAUGCUUGCAUUUGGAGCUGGGUUGAGUCGCCCCUGACCUCCCCUAGGUUCUUUCCUCAGGUUGUGACUGUGGGCGAUAAACUCUACUUCUUCGGAGGCAACCGCCCGCCUUUCCCUGAAGUGGAGAAACCCACUGACAUGCCGUUUGGUGAAGUGUACGGCCCCGGUGGUCAGUUUCGUGCACUACCUGAGCCUCCAUUCCCUAGAAUCCCCAGUAAGACCAUGGUGUUGCUGCCUUGUCUUGGAGACAAAGGGGAAGAGAAGAUACUUGUGGCCUCUACCGCCUAUUAUCCGGCCCCUUCUGCCACCGUCAUGUACUGGUACGACACUCAUGACCAGUCUUGGACCGAGUUCAAGGAUGAUGACCAAGACCACAAUCUGUAUUACACCUUGUUUGAAAAGUACGGGGAUUCUGCCGUCCCUGUUGCGGAGCAUAACGCUACUUAUUGGCUCAAUGGGGCGCAUACGCCCCUCAGCCUUUGCUGCUAUGAUUGGAAAUCUUGCAAGCUUUACGAAGGCGAAUUUCUGCAGCAUUUUGGUGGUCCAUGUAGGCCUAGGUUUCUGUUCCAUCUCCAAGGUGAUUUGUUUUGUUUGAUUGAUGAGGAAGUCGAAGAUGAGAAACCUGUAACCCAAUUCCACUUCAUACUUUUACUCGUCUCCAAAAACGACUCUAAUGCUACUUUGGACACCAAACUCUUGGGUUGUUACUGCUGCAAACUCAGUGGUGUCCAGUGUAUUAGAUACGCUCAUCUAUUGGAAUGAAUAUGGGGUUUUGUUGAUCUGAUGAUUCUCGACCCAUGCUACUUGUAUAUUUGCCGUUAUCAAUGUGCUUCGAUUACAUAUCCUUAUAUUAUGCAAGCCUUCUCUACUUGCUUUUGUAGUUGCUCCACUUUUUGACUUGUACAUCUCCCAAAUUCACCUGCUUUGGCCUCUAAUACGUCAAAUUAUUCGCCCGGUUAGUAGUUACUAUGUUAAUGGUUGAAUAUUUGGAAAAUGACAUAGGUCGUUCAUUAGCCUAUACAUUGAAACAAAUUAUUUGGAAAAUAUGUCACAGUAUGAGGGUAUGAUAAUGUUAACAGUUUAUAAGCAUAUCAUGUCUUUGCACUAACGACUUUGAGAAGCUCUUUUCGGAAAUGUGUUGGAAUUAGUGCUUCAAAUUAAUUACUAGCAAGUCAAAAAGUAGUUAUUUUUGUUUCCUAUUAUUUAAUAGCAGUAAUUGGUUGGUUUACUUAGUCUUAUAGUUUUAGAAACAUGGAUAGUCCACUUUCAAUUAGGCUCCGUUUGGUAGGGCGUAAAAGGUUUUCACUGAAAAUAGUUUUCCCCAUUUUCCAUUGUUUGGUUUGGGCUGGAAAAUUGGGCUGUAAAAUAAAGGUGUAAAAUAGUUUUACAUUAUAAUGAAAACAUUUUCCCCCAAAAUUGGGAGGAAAACGUUUUCCAUUCUCUCGACAAACAUAUGACUUUCUCUCUCAUCUAUACUCACCUCUCCCUCUCAUCUAUACUCACUACUCACCUCUCCCUCUCAUCUACACUUUCUCUCUCAUCAAACGGGUAAAUUUCACGCCAUUUUGAAGCAGAUUCUCUCAAUACGGUUUCGUUUCGUCGAAUUUGUUAGGAAACUAUAAUGGAGUCAAACGAUGUUCAAAAGUCUCAGAUAAUCCGUAAAGGCAUGAUCGUAGGUGCUGUUGCUGCCAUUAUUGCAUCUGUCCUUGCUUUUUUGAAAGUAAAUAAAUCUAGGACUAGAAGACCUAAAAUAAUUAGGCAACCUUAUGUUAAUAGGGAUAGCUUGAGGGAGGCUAAUAUCGAUAGUGUUUUAUAUUGUGGUGAUUGUCAUUGUCUUGGGCAGAUUCGUACGAGACCUAGUGCUUUUUAUAGCUUAUGUAAUAUUUUAGUUGAAAAGGGACUUUUGUCGAAAAGCAAGCAAAUGAGCGUCAAGGAACAAGUAUUACUUUUUCUAUAUGUGUUGGGUCAUAAUGUGAGAUUUCGGGAUGUUGGGGGAAGAUUUUUUCGAUCUACAUGGACUAUACAUUGCUACUUCCAUAUUAUGCUCCAAGCAAUCCUUCGAUUGUACCCAUAUGUCGUGAAACCACCAGCAACUGACUUGCAACCAGAAAUUCAGAACAAUUCUAGAUUUUUUCCUUGGUUUGAAGACUUCAUAGGAGCUAUAGAUGGGACCCAUGUACGUGCAUCUGUUCCUCUUGAUAUGCAAGAGAGAUUUCGGGGAAGAAAGGAUAAGACAACACAAAAUGUUCUAGCAGCUGUUGAUUUUGAUCUAAAGUUCACAUAUGUCCUUGCUGGUUGGGAGGGUUCCGCUCACGAUUCAAGGGUUUUGGGUGAUGCACUUAAAAAGGGGUUUAACGUUCCCGAAGGGAAAUACUAUCUUGCCGAUGCUGGGUAUGGGGAUCGUAAAGGUUUUAUGCCUCCAUUUAGAAUAUGCCACUUGAAAGAAUAUGCCAACAACGCUCCUGAGAAUGAACGAGAAUUAUUCAAUCUGCGCCAUUCUUCACUCAGAAUGUGUAUAGAGAGGGCGUUUGGAGUUUUAAAAAAGAGAUUUCGUGUCUUGGAUGCAGAGCCAUUUUGGUCAUUUGAAAUCCAAGUGGAUGUGGUUCUGGCUUGUUGUGUAAUACAUAACUAACUUAGGGGGGUUGAUCGAAAUGAUGAAAUUACAAGAGAGGCGGAUUUAGAGAUUGCAUCACAAGAUACAAGAACAUCACUUUCUAGGAAGGAAGUGCGUGAAGAAACCAAAGAGUGUGUGAAAAAGCGUGAUGCCAUAGCAUUGGCUAUGUGGAAUUCAUACAAAAAGCGUCGAACUAAUUAAAAUUGUAAUUUUUUUUUCUUAAUUUAUUGAAGUUGUAUUAGUACUGAUUUUGCUCGUUCUUAUUAUUACAAAAGGCAACAUGAGUAUUGCUUAAUUUGGUGAAUUUGUGAAUAACAUUUCUCUGUUCGUGUCUACUUUGCUCUCCCUAUUGCAACUCUGAUUUCUGGUUCAGUGUUGCUGUUUUUUGGCCUGAUGAAGUGAAGGAUGCUAAUAGUAAAUGUUUAUGCUAUAUGACU